GAUGAAGAACGUAGCGAAAUGCGAUAAGUAAUGUGAAUUGCAGAAUUCAGUGAAUCAUCGAAUCUUUGAACGCACCUUGCGCUCCUUGGUAUUCCGAGGAGCAUGCCUGUUUGAGUGUCAUGAAAUUCUCAACCUUUUCAGCUUUCUUUGUUGAUCAGGCUUGGAUGUGGGAGUAUGCGGGCUUCUCAGAAGUCGGCUCUCCUGAAAUGCAUUAGCGGGACCUUUGUUGCCUGGCUUUGGUGUGAUAAUUAUCUACGCCAUUGUAGUCAAGCAGCUUAAAAUGAGGUUUCAGCUUCUAACCGUCUCCCCUGAGACAACUUUUUGACAAUUUGACCUCAAAUCAGGUAGGACUACCCGCUGAACUUAAGCAUACCAAUAAGCGGAGGA
rnacentral:misc_RNA from 1 species